GCCGUCUAGCGUCAGAAAGGAGAAACGUUUGAAAGUAAAAUAAAAUGUCCGCUGUAGCUCGAUGACACUCAAAUACUCAAUUGAAAGAACUGGAAAAAAACUAAAAAAGAAAAGCCACCACGCAGCAUCACACAUCACAAAAGACGAAAUCCCCAAGGUGAUACUGAACGCCACUUCAACUUCUACACGAAGGCACUCAAGAGUCAAGACAGAUAUCUGUUCAUGUUGUCUGCAAGUGAUUCCAGACGUUUCAGCACCUGGGCUGUGCUGGACAGUGGAUUGCUGAUAGGGAAAACACUCAGUUCAUAAGGUAAACCAGCCAGUUAUUCAGAAUGUGUUUCUAUUAAUUGUGGACACUACUAGGCUACAUACUACAAGGCAACAGCAAACAUUAAGUCAAUCACAAAUUAUGGUGAAGAUGAAAAAUCCUUUCCACACUACCCUAUCUGACAACAACAGCAUGUUCCUGGUUCGUUCGAUCAUCACUCGUCUAGGCGUCUAGGGACUGGGCAUCUAAUUAAAUUAUUAAUCACCUGUAUCACCCUUUUAGCUUUAUUCCUGUCAUUCUGCACUUUACCUUACCUGUGAUAAAUCUUUAUUUUCUUCUGUAGGUUACAAUGGCAGUUGAUAAUUGGAGAGCAGCAUUGGAAUGUGACAGCUUGCCUGGCUUCGUCUGGUCCUAAGUUACACAAUACAAAAUACAUCAUCAUAUGAUACUUACAAAAAUCUAAACAAAUUUAGAUUAGGAAUUUUAGCUUAAAUUUCAGCUGAAGUUUUCAUGUGACUUAGGUGCUUGUGACCAUAGAAAUCAAGUUAUCCAAUCCACUAACCCAAGCUAUGUGCCUACGUCUUCCAAAGCUAAAUAGUUCCUACUGUCAUUUAAUUUCUAUGAUAAUAUUUCAGGUUGACUUCCCCUGUCAAAUUGUGGUAAAUUUUCAAGAUUCCUUUCCUACAUUGAUAGAUUUGAGAGUGAGAUACUCACCACCGUUAUAGUUUGGAAACUGACAGUACUAACCAACGCUCCCGGUGUGCACUUGUCACCCAUUGGGGUAGGAGAAGGAAGAGGAGGGUGAUGGUCGAGUCGAAUGAGGACUUGGUUGAUUUGAUGAAAAUUUUUGUAGCAUCAUGAGAUUGAAAAAAAAUGUUUAUGAUUAGUUA